ensembl:lncRNA
CUAUGGAUUUGCAAUGGCUAUGGAUUUGCAAUGGCUAUGGAUUUGCAAUGGCUAUGGAUUUGCAAUGGCUAUGGAUUUACAAUGGCUAUGGAUUUACAAUGGCUAUGGAUUUACAAUGGAGGAAAACGAAGGGAAAAAACAGCAAAUGAAAGCAGUCACAUUUAAAGCAAUAAAUCAGAAAGGAAAGAAAAAACAAUGAAAAACAAAAAACCACAAGAUGAAACAGACAAACCAAAACAGAAAAGAAAACCCAAGAGCACAGAGCGCCCCAAAGCGCCACACAGAAGGAACAACACACGAAAUAGGAAUUAAAAAAGGGGAAAAAAAAAGAGAAAAGCAACAACAAAGACACAUAUUUGACGAAACAGCAAGAUAAGAAAUUUUCCAGAAACAGAACAAAAGAAAAGAACAAAUGAAAGAAAAACAAAAAUCUAAGCAUAAUACACAAAAAGCAAAAACAACACAAAAGCACAAAACACAAACACUCACAAAAAAGUAGUUUUCCUACUGCACAAGUGCAAAAACAGCAAAUCAAACCACCACAUUAAAGCAACAAAACCAAAGGCCCACAACAAACCAAAGGCCCACAACAAACCAAAGGCCCACAACAAACCAAAGGCCCACAGAGUGCCCCACAGAAAAGAUCAGUGAAAAAACACAUAAGAAAAAACACACAACAUAGAAAUUAAAAAUGAGAAAAAAUUAACAAAAAUUGCAGAACCAAACAGCAAAGAAAAAUACACAGAAAAUCCCAUCACAUUUAAAGCAACAAAACUGAAAAAAAAAAUAAUCGAAAAAAAAUCAACCAAAAAAACCCACAAAAAAAAAAUCCAAGCACAGAGCGCACCCCACAGAGCGCCCCACAGAAAAAAACAACAGAAAUAGACAAAUGAAAAAAACACACACAACACAGAAAUUAAAAUAGAGGAGAAAAACAAACAAACAGAAACAGAAAAAGAGAAAAUCAAAACCAAAAGACAAAAACAACCUCCAUAAGGACCCAUAGAGACCCAUAGGGACCCAUAGGGACCCAUAGGGAACCAUAGAGACCCAUAGGGACCCAUAGGGACCCAUAGGGACGCAUAGAGCCCCAUAGAGCCCCAUACGGACCCAUAGGGACUGAUAGAAACCCAUAGAGACCCAUAGGUCCUCCAUAGGGACCCAUAGAACCCCAUAGAGACCCAUAGGGACCCAUAG